rnacentral:rRNA from 1 species
UACGGGGGGGGCAAGCGUUGUUCGGAAUUACUGGGCGUAAAGGGCUCUUAGGCGGCCAACUAAGUCGGACGUGAAAUCCCCAGGCUCAACCUGGGAACUGCGUCCGAUACUGGAUGGCUUGAAUCCGGGAGAGGGAUGCAGAAUUCCAGGUGUAGCGGUGAAAUGCGUAGAUAUCUGGAGGAAUACCGGUGGCGAAGGCGGCAUCCUGGACCGGCAUUGACGCUGAGGAGCGAAAGCCAGGGGAGCAAACGGG